UACGUAGGCAGCGAGCGUUGUUCGGAGUUACUGGGCGUAAAGGGUGUGUAGGCGGUUCUCUAAGUUUGGUGUGAAAUCUCCCGGCUCAACCGGGAGGGUGCGCCGAAAACUGGAGGGCUAGAGUGCGGGAAGGGAGAGUGGAAUUCCUGGUGUAGCGGUGAAAUGCGUAGAUAUCAGGAGGAACACCGGUGGUGUAGACGGCUCUCUGGACCGCGACUGACGCUGAGACACGAAAGCGUGGGUAGCAAACAGG
rnacentral:rRNA from 2 species